rnacentral:rRNA from 1 species
UACAGAGGUCCCAAGCGUUGUUCGGAUUUACUGGGCGUAAAGGGUGCGUAGGUGGCGAGGUAAGUUUGAUGUGAAAUCUCCGAGCUCAACUCGGAAAUGGCAUUGAAUACUAUCCCGCUUGAGGGUCGGAGGGGAGACUGGAAUUCUCGGUGUAGCAGUGAAAUGCGUAGAUAUCGAGAGGAACACCAGUGGCGAAGGCGGAUCUCUGGGCCUUACCUGACGCUGAGGAGCGAAAGCAUGGGGAGCAAACAGG